AUGAAUCUGAGUUAUUUCAACCUCUUGAUACUGGUUUCAUAUGUAGAUGGUCAGUCAAUGACCUCAUCUGGCCAUGAGGUGAAGAAACCUGGAGAAUCAGUAACUUUGUCCUGUAUGGUGUCUGGACUCCCCCUUAGCUGGUUGCACUGCAUCCGUCAGAAAUCGGGGGGAGGACUGGAGUGGAUUGGGCAUAUUAACGAUGGCACUGACACUAUUUUUGCUCAGUCCCUACAAGACCAGUAUUCCAUUACAAACGACACCAGCAGAAACAUGGUGUAUUUGGAGGUGAAAAGUCUAAAGACUGAGGACAUGGCAGUUUAUUACUGUGCAUGUUAGACAAAAGGGUGCAGUGCAUAGCAAAAACAUAUGUAUUAUGUUUAAAUGCUGAACAUUUAUACCCUUGAGAGUAAAAGACGAAUGCAUGGCGUGGAUAAAGUAACUCCCAGGAAGGAGAGGUGUGGUGUAAUGCUUCUGGCUGUAAUGCUUCUGGUUUUAACUUUGGUGGCUCCUGGAUGGCUUGGAUCAUACAGACUUUUGGGGGAAGA